rnacentral:rRNA from 1 species
UACGUAGGGUGCAAGCGUUGUCCGGAAUUAUUGGGCGUAAAGAGCUCGUAGGCGGUUUGUCGCGUCUGCUGUGAAAACUCGGGGCUUAACCCCGGGCCUGCAGUGGGUACGGGCAGACUAGAGUGCGGUAGGGGAGACUGGAAUUCCUGGUGUAGCGGUGAAAUGCGCAGAUAUCAGGAGGAACACCGGUGGCGAAGGCAAUCCCCUGGACCUGUACUGACGCUCAUGCACGAAAGCGUGGGGAGCAAACAGG